rnacentral:lncRNA from 1 species
UAUUUUUUUUUCCCACCGAGAGACCUCCAUUUUGUUAGACCACGUAUUAGAGACUUCAGUAAAUAUUGGCAAAUUUUACCUGUGCUGAAAACAGAAUCAUUUUGGAUAUUUGAUGCCCACUGAAUUAGAAUUGAAGGAAAGGGCUUUUAAAAAUACAGUUAGAUUAGAAUCCUUAGAAAGAGUUAUUUACGUGUUUGUUUCUAAAAAUGAUGAAAUGUUGCUUUUGGGGGAUAAUUAACAAUGUACUUUCAAAUUAAAGUUCAGCACUUUCUUAAAAAAAAAAAAAAACAAGUCCAAAUCCUGACUUGUAAAAACUCGUUUAGGCAAGUUUUUUAGCGAUUUAAAUGCUUUUUUUUUUUUUUUUUUUUUUUUUUUGGACAAGUUUGGCUUACAAGAAAAGACGUACAUAAAUUUAGCUUAAUUGUAAAUCCUGUUGAAUUUUCUUGAGUUCUUUGCGGAAAAUAUGGGAGAAGAUAGAACCUAUUUCAAAUCUUUUUUAGCAAUACUUAAUACAGCUUUCAGUGUAAGGUUAAGUCCUAAUAAAAACCCACUGGAAAUUUUUCUUAAAGAUAGAUACAGGUGGAUAACAGAUUUAUUGUAUAGAGAGGAGGGAAAAAAUGGAAAGAAAAUAAGAUUUAUUUGUGAGUAGUAAGUAAUCCCUUGAAAGUUAAGUAAUUAAAAACACCACUGGAAUAACCUAACCUUUCAUGCUUGGGUAAGAAUGUUUAUAAUUGCAGCAUGUCUUAACUUUCUUCCUUCUCCAUCAUAAGUGAGGAUAUUUAGAAGGGGCUUCAUACAGGAACUUAACAGUUCAAUAUUUGUAAUAACAUUUUAGAAAUCUUAAAGGCUUACCUUAUGUAAUCUUUAAAUAUGAAUUGAUGCCAUUAUUGGUAACUUCUGCAUAGAUAGGAUUUCCUUAUGUAUUUUACUGGGAGGUUAGUUGGAUCAAGGUAACUAUGACCUGACAAUUUACUUUUCUUUUUUUUUUCCCUGUGUAGUCCUGGCUGACCUGGAACUCACUCUGUAGACCAGGCUGGCCUGGAACUCAGAAAUCCUCUUGCCUCUGCCUCCCAAGUGCUGGGAUUAAAGGCAUGCCCGGCUGACAAUUUUCUGAUAGCAGCCCCCCUCUAGUAUUACAAAACUGAACUGUUAAAUAUGUAGUAUAUCUGUAAAUUUCUCUUUGUAGUCCCAGAAUGAAGCUGGAUUCUUAAAGUUUAAUUAUUUUUUUACUUAAAUUUAUAUUCCUGUGUCUGUCCCUGAAUAUUUUUUAAUCCUUCAGACCUAUUGAACUUAAAAAUAAACACAUAUUUAUGAGUAAACAAUAGUAUUUGGUUGAAGUGAUUUGAUUUUCAGUGCUGUAUUGAUUCAGAAGAAGCAUCAAUUUUGCCUUUGUAGAACGCUAAGGCAGGAGAAUUUCAGUGAGUUCAAGGCUACCCUAGGUUACAUAGUUCCAGGCUAGCCUGAGUUAAGGCAAGACCCUGCCUCAAGCAAAAACAUU